rnacentral:rRNA from 1 species
GAUGAACGCUGGCGGCGUGCCUAAUACAUGCAAGUCGAGCGAAUGGAUUAAGAGCUUGCUCUUAUGAAGUUGGCGGCGGACGGGUGAGUAACACGUGGGUAACCUGCCCAUAAGACUGGGAUAACUCCGGGAAACCGGGGCUAAUACCGGAUAAUAUUUUGAACUGCAUGGUUCAAAAUUGAAAGGCGGCUUCGGCUGUCACUUAUGGAUGGACCCGCGUCGCACUAGCUAGUUGGUGAGGUAACGGCUCACCAAGGCAACGAUGCGUAGCCGAACUGAGAGGGUGAUCGGCCACACUGGGACUGAGACACGGCCCAGGCGCCUACGGGAGGCAGCAGUAGGGAAUCUGCCGCAAUGGACGAAAGUCUGACGGAGCAACGCCGCGUGAGUGGUGAAGGCUUUCGGGUCGUAAAACUCUGUUGUUAGGGAAGAACAAGUGCUAGUUGAAUAAGCUGGCACCUUGACGGUACCUAACCAGAAAGCCACGGCUAACUACGUGCCAGCCGCCGCCGUAA